GGUGAACAGAUUUGCACAAUGCGUUAGUGGACAUUUAAGGACUCAGCCCCGUCCGAGACACGCGGACUGAAACUCACGAGGACCUUCAGAGCACAGGCUUAUAGAGGGGCACUGACGCUCUGGCCGACCCACGGGAGUACACACUUCUGUUUCCGUUCUUUCGCCCCCUGGUUCUUAAAGGGUCAUGUCCGACUCUGCGACCCCAUGGACUGUAGCCCGCCAGGCUCCUCGGCCCAUGGGAUUAUUCAGGCAGGAAUACUUGAGUGGGUUGCCUUUUCCUCCUCCAGGAGAUCUUCCCCACCCAGGCAUGGAAUCCGAGUCUCCUGCAUUGGCAGGCGGAUUCUUUACCACUGAGCUACCUGGGUAGACGUCAAAACAGAUAGAGACUUAGACUUAGUGUUGCCCAAGCUCAGAUGAUUCUCAGAUAAGGAAACAGGUCAAGAGAAGUGAAUGAUCUGUUCAUCUUCACCCAUCCAUGCCUUCCCAAUGUCAAGACAAAAGCUGAAGAAAGGGAGAAGAGGAAUGAUAGACUUAUUUGGAGAAGAUCAGUGCUGCCCAUCCUUUGCUGGGCGAACAAGAUUUGAAUCAGCAAGGAUGAGGAAAGGUAAGAGACAAAGACAUGAGAAAGGCUGGAAAGCGACACUGUGCUGGGGAGUGGAGAGGAGCAUCCAGGUGUCCCGGCUUCGCUCUGCUUGGCCCUGCCUCAGCUGACCUGACUCAUGGUUAGGCCCCAGAUGAUGGACCCUCUGGAAGUGGCUUCUUCUCUCCCUCGCGCAGGUUGGCUGAAAAAGCUGGAUUCUGUUUCCGCAGAGAGAAUAGAAGAAUAAGGAAUGUGUUAAUUUUAGAAAUAGCAUUACACACACCCACCAGAAUGCCUAAAAUGGAAAUGAUGGAAAAUGCUAGGAGAUGCUCAGGGACACUCCCACACAGCUGAGGGGAAUGUGGAUUGGUACUGACUUUGGAGGAUGGUUUUGAGGGUAUCUCCUGAAACCAACGGUACACACCUUAGUCCAAAGUGGAGGAGGCGAGGAAGAUGCCUGGAAAUCAAGUCUUCCAGGGAAUGAAAGGGAUCAUGGGCAAAGAGGACCCGUGCCCAGGAGUGUACAAGAGUACACAGGCUCAACAGACUGAAAUCACCUUUCCCAGAACUGUGAAAAUUCAUAUUACUUCUCCUCUUUGAGCUUGUGUUUCUAGAGAACUACACACAACUUAGCAUAAGCAGAACAGUUCAUCCUCCCUCCUUCUGCCUCAGUGAUUAUUUCUAAAAGGCAAAGCUGUGCUUCAUGCACCUCUCCUCAGGAUACUUCAAUAGGUCCACAAGGACCUUAGCAGAAUUUCCUAAGUCGUUUUCCUUAGGCAUCUUAACCACUGGACCACCAGGGAAGUCUCCUCUCCAGCUUUUUGAUGACUAGUACCAACGGCCAAUGAAGAGAUGAGUCCUCCUACCAUAAGCCAAAUUCUUCCAUCUCCCCCAUCAUGUCCCUCAUCUCCUUAGUCCUUCCUACAUGGCUUAUGCCUUAUACCAGGAGGGUUCCUGGAUACAGGAGGAUCACGAGCGCACCCCUGCAGACACUGAUCCAUUUGUGUGCCCUAAGCUCCUUUCAAGGCUAGACCCUGGACUUGGAACACAAAAAUGGAUAAACCCAAGUCCCCGUUUUCAAGGAGUCCACAGGCUGGAGAAAGAGACAAACCUGAGGAGUCAACAGAAUGACGAUAAGUGGUUGACUGAGGAAAGAACACACCAAGUACCUCCUCUUUGGGAUCAAGAAGCUGACUUGCUGGGUUUCUCUGAAGAGCCUUGCUUGGGCUGAAUUGAAGAGAAUCAGUCAGACUUGGUCAAAAGGAUGAGCUGGUGAAGCUUGAGAGCCACAGCACCUUUGAGGAACAGCAAGCAUGGCCCGAGGACUUCCCUGGUAGCUCAGUCAAAAAAGAAUCCACCUGCAGUGCGGGAGACCUGGGUUCGAUCCCUGGGUUGGGAAGAUCCCCUGAAGGAGGGCAUGGCAACCCACUCUAGUAUUCUUGCCUGGAGAAUGCCCAUGGACAGAGGAGCCUGGCAGGCUGCAGUCUAUGCGGUUGCAAAGAGUCGCACAUGACUGAGCGGCUAAGCACACAAGCGCAGCCUGAGCCCAGGGCCCUCGAGGGUCUUGGAGGUGGACAGGGAGGGACCCACGGUAUCAGUCCAGAGCUCUGUACCCACACUGUUCUCACCAGGGUCCACCAGCAACCAGUGCCCCGUCCAGGGGCCUUUCUCCAGCCCAUUUUUGGGCCCCUCCCUUCUCUCUCUUUUAAAAAAUGCAUUUACUUAUUCUUUGGCCAUGCUGCUUGGCUUGCAGUAUCUUAGUUCCCCAACCAAGGACCGAACCUGGGCCCACGGCAGUGAAAGCCCUGAGUCCUAACCGCUGGACUGCCAAGGAAGUCCCCCCUGCCCCUGCCCCUGCACCCUCCCCCAAAAAAAGAUCCUGUCUUGAUAUCAUGAUGAUCAGAACAGCAGGAUGCCACCAGCUCCUGAGGUUUCCUCCACUGUCUGGCUGCCCUAACUCACUAUUCUUAUUGACUUCCUCAUUUCCUUAAAUUCUAACUUCCUUUUCCAGCUGUCCCACCUCUAGGUGAAUCAGAAACCUCCUCCUUUCUCAUUUCCAUCUCUAGUUCUCUUUGCAUAUUGGUCUCAGUUCCUCCUACCACAAGAUAAGCCUCCUGUGGUGUCUGGAAAUGUGGCUGCAAGAACUCCAGAGAAGCAAUCCAUGGGGAUUCCCACGUUCACCCGUCCAUCCUGCGGAAGGAUUCUGACUGGUGGUGGUUGGGGUGUGUUAUUGCCCUGGAGCUCAUCACUGUUACUAGCGCAAUGAAGACAGUAUGAUUUGUGAUGGGAGAAAUGAGGGGCUAUGAUUGGCCCCAUCAAAAUCAUACUGAAAGGCAGUUCCCAAAUGCAGGUGUGUUGGUCAAGGUCGCAGUCAGGAGAUAGGAACUACAUAAUAUGAACAAGGAAAGUUUAAUUAUUAACUAAUAACAGAGAGUUAACCACUAAAGGGUAAAGAACUCUAAAGAAUAUAGAAGGAGAUAAAUGGAUAAACACAAUGUGGUAUAUACUACAUACAAUGGAAUAUGAUUCUGCCAAAGGAAAUUCUGAUACAGGCUGGAUGACUUAAACUGCAAACAGUUACUUUCUCACAGUUCUGCAGGCUGGAGAUUCAUGAUCAAGGUAACACAAAUUUGGUCUCAUGUGAGACUCCUCUUCCUGGCCUGUAGCCAGCUUCCUCCUCACUGCGUCCUCAUCUGGCAUCCUCUGUGUGCGUACUCACUCCUGCAUCUCCCUCUGCUUAUAAAGUCGCCAAUCCUGUUGGAUCAGGGGCCCACCCCUAUGACUUUAUUUAAUUUUAACUCCCUCCCUAAGGGCCAUAUUUCCCAAGACAGUCCCAUUGGGUUUAGGUCAGCCCAUAACAGUGACCACGGCAUGGAGAAGACACGGGUAAAGUUAGAAAUUUCGGGGAAAUUCAUUUUGAGGAGGCUUUGACAAUGCUGGGUGCUACCAGAUGCCUGUCAAAGGGAAGGAGCAGGAGCAGUCCAUGGAAUACCUUGACUCUGCACCUUCGUUGGGUGAUUGUAUGGCUGUUAACAUAUCAGACCCCCAUCUUGGGACCUUACAAUUUCUCCUGUCCUUCUGCUGACCCUACCCAGGGCUGUGCAGUAAAUCACUUCUCUGUCAUCAAGGGCUUUGUAGUUCAUAGAUAUUAUUUAAUAAUCAUAGGGAUCAGGUGGCCUCUAAACUGUUAGUCCCCAAACAAUGAUGCAAACUUCACUGACGUAUUCCCAGCACCCACGAGCCCAGUUAGCGUUCAGAAAUCUUGACUUAGGAAUGCAUGUCCUGUUUCCAGGCACAUACCUCUAGAUCUUAGACUAGCUAUAAAAUUGUCCCCGUGGCCCCUCAGUGGUGUGUAAUGCAGCUGCAAAUGCUUCUGGAUUGCUGACCACCUGACCUGGAUCCCACCCUGUGAGUAAGUGACCCUGUAAUAAACUGAUC